AGUUAAACCAGCAUGGUCCCGGCUCGUCAAACUUUAGAUAGAAAAUUGCUAUUCAUAUAGACAGUAUUUUACUUUUUUGGCCUCUAUUUCUCGGUUAUGGUCGUACUUCACGUUUAUGAUCUAAUUUAUUCAUCAAUGAGAGCACACACUGCACAGGAACUGUAUGAAGUGCACUCUAUAUAUUAAUAGGAUCAAACGCUCAACUGCCAACUGUUUCCAACUUGAUUUGCAAUACAGGCUGUAUCACAUUGCUCACUCAACUACAGAGUAUCGUACAAAGUUUUUGGCUUGUCAUCUACUUCAGCAGACUACUUCUACUUCACUUUUCUCUCCGUUUACAGACUCAACGUGAAAGUCCCCAACUUGAUUUGCAAUACAGGCUGUAUCACAUUGCUCACUCAACUACAGAGUAUCGUACAAAGUUUUUGGCUUGUCAUCUACUUCAGCAGACUACUUCUACUUCACUUUUAUCUCCGUGUAAGUAAUUUGUGUUA